UACGUAGGGUGCGAGCGUUGUCCGGAAUUAUUGGGCGUAAAGGGCUCGUAGGCGGUUUGUCGCGUCGGGAGUGAAAAUCCAGGGCUUAACUCUGGACUGGCUUCCGAUACGGGCAGACUAGAGGUAUGCAGGGGAGAACGGAAUUCCUGGUGUAGCGGUGAAAUGCGCAGAUAUCAGGAGGAACACCGGUGGCGAAGGCGGGUCUCUGGGCAAUAACUGACGCUGAGGAGCGAAAGCGUGGGGAGCGAACAGG
rnacentral:rRNA from 1 species